AAUAGAUACCCAGGUAGUCCACGCCCUAAACGAUGAUAACUCGAUGUUAGCGAUAUACCGUUAGCGUCCAAGCGAAAGCGUUAAGUUAUCCACCUGGGGAGUACGCCCGCAAGGGUGAAACUCAAAGGAAUUGACGGGGGCCCGCACAAGCGGAGGAGCAUGUGGUUUAAUUCGAUGAUACGCGAGGAACCUUACCCGGGCUUGAAAGUUACUGAAGAAUGCAGAGACGCAUUCGUCCUUCGGGACAGGAAACUAGGUGCUGCAUGGCUGUCGUCAGCUUGUGCCGUGAGGUGUUGGGUUAAGUCCCGCAACGAGCGCAACCCUAUGUUUAGUUGCCAGCACGUCAAGGUGGGGACUCUAGACAGACUGCCUGCGUAAGCAGAGAGGAAGGUGGGGGCGACGUCAAGUCAUCAUGGCCCUUACGUCCGGGGCUACACACGUGCUACAAUGGACGGUACAGCGGGCAGCUACACAGCAAUGUGAUGCUAAUCUCGAAAAGCCGUUCACAGUUCGGAUCGGGGUCUGCAACCG
rnacentral:rRNA from 1 species